rnacentral:rRNA from 2 species
GCUAUACAUGCAAGUCGAGCGGUAGAGAGGUGCUUGCACCUCUUGAGAGCGGCGGACGGGUGAGUAAUACCUAGGAAUCUGCCUGAUAGUGGGGGAUAACGUUCGGAAACGGACGCUAAUACCGCAUACGUCCUACGGGAGAAAGCAGGGGACCUUCGGGCCUUGCGCUAUCAGAUGAGCCUAGGUCGGAUUAGCUAGUUGGUGAGGUAAUGGCUCACCAAGGCUACGAUCCGUAACUGGUCUGAGAGGAUGAUCAGUCACACUGGAACUGAGACACGGUCCAGACUCCUACGGGAGGCAGCAGUGGGGAAUAUUGGACAAUGGGCGAAAGCCUGAUCCAGCCAUGCCGCGUGUGUGAAGAAGGUCUUCGGAUUGUAAAGCACUUUAAGUUGGGAGGAAGGGCAUUAACCUAAUACGUUAGUGUCUUGACGUUACCGACAGAAUAAGCACCGGCUAACUCUGUGCCAGCAGCCGCGGUAAUACAGAGGGUGCAAGCGUUAAUCGGAAUUACUGGGCGUAAAGCGCGCGUAGGUGGUUUGUUAAGUUGAAUGUGAAAUCCCCGGGCUCAACCUGGGAACUGC